rnacentral:tRNA from 1 species
GCUUUUGUGGUGUAGUGGUUAGCACGUUCGGCGCAUAUCCGAGAGGUCCGCGGUUCGAAACCCGGCGGGGGCA